rnacentral:rRNA from 1 species
CUGGCCUUGACAUUGAUAGAAUUCUGUAGAGAUACGGAAGUGCCCUUCGGGGAGCUUGAAAACAGGUGCUGCACGGCUGUCGUCAGCUCGUGUCGUGAGAUGUUGGGUUAAGUCCCGCAACGAGCGCAACCCUCGUCUUUAGUUGCCAGCAGUUCGGCUGGGCACUCUAAAGAGACUGCCUUCGCAAGGAGGAGGAAGGUGAGGACGACGUCAAGUCAUCAUGGCCCUUACGGCCAGGGCUACACACGUGCUACAAUGGGGCGUACAGAGAGUUGCGAUACCGCGAGGUGGAGCUAAUCUCAUAAAGCGUCUCUCAGUUCGGAUU